GACGAACGCUGGCGGCAUGCCUAACACAUGCAAGUCGAACGAGACCUUCCUGUCUAGUGGCCCACGGGUGCGUGACGGGUUAGAACCUGCCCUUAGUUUCGGAAUCACUGCCCGAACGGGGUGCUAAUGCCGGUUAAUGUCUUCGGACCAAAGAUUUAUCGCCGUUGGAUGGGCCCGCGUUUGUUUAGCUAGUGGGUAGUGUAAAAGCCUACCAAGGCGAGGAUCCAUAGCUGGUCUGAGAGGAUGAUCAGCCACACUGGGACGGAGACACGGCGCAGACUCCGACGGGAGGCAGGAGUGGGGGAUAGUGGACAAUGGGCGAAAGGCUGAGCGAGCAAUGCCGGGUGAGUGGUGAAGGCCUUAGGGUUGUAAAGCUGUUGUACCCGUGAUGAUAAUGACAGUACCGGGAGAAUAAGCACCGGCUAACUACGUG
rnacentral:rRNA from 1 species